rnacentral:tRNA from 1 species
AAAUUUAUAGUUUAAAGUAAGAUAUUAAAUUGCAAAUUUAAAGAUGUUUAAAAACUAAAUUUU